UGGUUUGUUAUUCAGCAAUGGAUAAUUAGAGCACUGACUCACCUUGAUGGGCCUCAUCAUCAUUCAUCCAGAAAUCUUUUAUUGAGAAAAAUAAUAUUUGCCAUGUUGUGCAAGGAGUUGGGGUUGCAAAGCUGGGUGCUGUGAUCUAUAACACAAGGCAGCAGGAUUGUCUGACCUCCGAGAGCCAUGUGCCCUGGGAUCAUCUGGCCACAGUUAUCUCACAGAAUUCCUAAUGCACAGUCUGUGUGGGAGGUGAUGCCGGAGUCCCCCCUCCCUCUGGGCUCCUCCCCGUGCUCUGCUCACAUCACUGGGGGGUUGGCGGCAGCCUGCUGAGUCCUUUCGACCCUCAGCCCGCUCUCCAGCACUCAGACUGGCCGAAACCUGUGCCGCUGGCUCCACCCUCAGGUCUCCCCACUCCUCUCAUUAGCCACCGGCCUUCUCAGCCUUCUCUUAUUCUUGUGACUCUUGCCUGACCCUGCCUCAGCUCUGUGUCCUCCCAGACUGCUGACUGUGAGGCUUUGCCCAGCGGAUUUUCCAUCGCCAAAUUAGAGCUUUUCUUUCCUCGCCUGACUGCUCCCUGUCACUGUCUUCUGUAUCUUCCUGUUCCUGAUUUUGGCUGGCUAUCAAGAGAAGAAGAUCUACAAUCAUCCUAUCUCUCAUGGCACCUUACCAUGUGCAACUCCCUCGUAUCUAAUACCUCACUUCACCUUUUCUGUUCUUCUAUUUAUGAGCUACGUGAUGUCAGACAAGGCACUUAACUACUCUGGGCUUUGGCUCCCUUAUUUAACGAUAGGUAUCAUAAUAAUACCUGUCCUGUCCAAUUUACAGUUUGUCUGACAGUUAUUCAUUUAACAAACAUGCAUUGGGUUCCUACUGAGUGCUGGGUGAUGUAUCCAGCAUUGCUAAGACAACGGCCGUGAGAACAGCAAGCAUGCCUGGGUUUUGCAUUCUAGUGGGACGUCUUAAUCUAUUUUCUGCUAAAACAUAAUACCACAAACUAGGCAGUUGAUGAAGAAGAUACAUUUACUUCUUGCAGUUGAAGAGGCUGGGAAGUCCAAGGGCAUGGCACUGGCAUCUGGGUCAUCCCAUGGUGGAAGGUGGAAGGUGGAAGGGCAGGGACUAAGAAGAGCACCAGGUGCCAGACUCACUUUGUAACAACCCACUGUCAUAAUAACUAACCUGACCUCACAACCCAGUCACCUCCCAACAAAGUUGCAUUGGGAUUGAAUUUAUAACACAAGAACUUUUGGGGGGCAAAUUCAAGCCAGGCAUGGGGGUUAGUGUAAAUAAAUGAAUAGUGC
rnacentral:lncRNA from 10 species